GGUUUCAUGGUGUAGUUGGUUAUCACGUCAGUCUACCACAUUUAAGGUCUCCGGUUUGACCCCGGGCGAAGCCA